UAUAAUUUUCCUGCAGCUUAGUAAAGAUCUAUUAUACUUCUUUCUAGCCAUCGUAAUUCGGUCAAUAGAUUUCAAUUCGGUCAAUGUCAACAUUCUCUUCGCACAAAAUAAAUAAAUAUGAAUAAUUAAAUGUCAAAAAAAUUUUCCUACUCGGGAAGUAGAUAAACGCAAUUCGAUUUUUACAUAGUGAAUCACAUGUGGAAUCAAAUGGGGAAAAAAGAAUCAAAAAGAAAAAAAAGAAAUAAAAGCAAAAAGGAAAGUUCCCGUAAACGGUAGUAUCGAUCCAAAAUUAUUGCUAACAUUAUGAAGAGAUAAUCGGGGAUAUUAGCUUCGUGAAUAUAUAGAAAAGAGAAGGUUAAACGAAACAGCGCAUGCUCGAGUCGAUAUAAGAGAUGUUGCUAGCCAUCCGCGGAAGUUGAAUAAACCGUUUAUUCCGUUUCGAAUCGUGCUACCAGCAAGUUCCUGCGAGUGUCCAAAUAAUAUUCCAAACAGAAACGAAUCAGAAUAAUAUAUAAGCUCCUGACCAGUGAAAAUAGUGGAUAGUAUCUAGAAGAUUCUGCAGAACACACUAUCGAUAGUUGUAAAAGUUCUGAUUAUCAAUGGAAGCACAAUUAUAUUCCCUAUUACUUAUCGAAAGGAACAUUCGAUACAUCCAUUAUUUCAUAUAUGUAUCGAUUUAUAUUUAUAUAUAUGUUCACUUAUGCAUCUGUUUUUUCUAUAAUGCCUUACUUACGAUGUAUAUAUUAGAGGCAAACUACGAGCGCAUAUAUUUAUAUUUUUAUCUAUUAUUUCGUGAAUUAUCUGCGCUGUCUUAUUAAUUAAGAAGGAAGUAAAUAGAUGAUACAUCAUUUGUAAUCAAAUUAUUGAUAAACAUUUACUUCUUCGGAAUAUGAGGACAAAAUUGGCGAAAAAAAAGAAAAUAAUUAAAAGUUAAUCGAAAACUUGGAAUAAUUUAUUUUUAAUCGAGGCAACAUCGUGUCCAGACCAAACUUUAAGAAAGAAAAGAUAAUUAACAAUUAAACCGUAGUACCUGAACAUUGGCUGCAUAUUUGGAUUCGAUAAUGGGUUUCGCUAAUAUUAUUCAUUAUUUUCUUGGAUCAAUAUUUAUUAAUGUCAAUAUGAAAAUCAUUCCAUUGUAAUAGUUCCAAUAGAACUAUUCGGAAGGAGUAAAUUAAAAAUAUUUGAAUGUUCAUAUAUGUGAUAUAUACUAUUGAUAUUAUCGUUAUUGACAUCAGUAUUCAUAUAAUGGAGCUUCUCGGAAAAAUUAAUGAUUGUGAUAAUUGUCCCUUUUCACGUAGUAAUUGUUUCACACGAUCGAAUCGACGGAGGAAAUAUAGAAAUUUGUAUAAAGAGAAAUAGAAGGAAAAAGGUUUUUGAUGCGGUGUUACCACAGAUUGUUGAAAGUUGAUAUUCCAUAUGCAAGUCGAAAAGAGUCAAUUGCAGAACAGAAGGAAAUUAUUAGAGAAAAAUAAUAAUGGCUGCUAUAUACAUCCAUUCCUGGCAAACUACUGCGGCAGCGAAAGAACUUCGAUGUUUAUUCGUCGGAGUACAAAGAACUGAUCUGGUAACUCCAAAUCUAAAAGUCCAAGUCAUUCAUUUGUUGAUUUUACACGCUACCAACAACUGCCAUUUUUAAAUUUAAGUCUAAUAGAAAAUAAAUUAAAAUUGUUUGAUAUACCGUCUGUGUUCCAUAGCAUGUAAUGUUUAGCGAAAUCUACUAUUGCUUAAACAGUGAAUAGUUUAACUCGUCGUUCAUUUAUAUCGUUUAAAUGAGUUUAAAAUUAUCAAAAGUAUUAAGUUUGAAGUUUUCACCUUUAAAAAGUGAGAGGGAAGCGUCAGUCAUUCCAAUGUUCGUUUUUAUUGGCAUCACACGCAGCUACGAAACUCAGA